ensembl:rRNA 5S_rRNA 5S ribosomal RNA
AUGAACCGCCGUAUCACCCUGCAGCCCAAGACCGGUUACUCACUAAAACUAAGCAGGGCUGAGCCUAGUCAGUACCUAGAUAAGAGACCACAUGGGAAAACUAGGUUGCCGUUGGAA